rnacentral:rRNA from 1 species
GACGAACGCUGGCGGCGUGCUUAACACAUGCAAGUCGAACGAAGAGCGAUGGAAGCUUGCUUCUAUCAAUCUUAGUGGCGAACGGGUGAGUAACGCGUAAUCAACCUGCCCUUCAGAGGGGGACAACAGUUGGAAACGACUGCUACUACCGCAUACGAUCUAAUCUCGGCAUCGAGGAUAGAUGAACGGUGGCCUCUACAUGUAAGCUAUCACUGCAGGAGGGGAUUGCGUCUGAUUAGCUAGUUGGAGGGGUAACGGCCCACCAAGGCGAUGAUCAGUAGCCGGUCUGAGAGGAUGAAAGGCCACAUUGGGACGGAGACACGGCCCAGACUCCUACGGGAGGCAGCAGUGGGGAAUCUUCCGCAAUGGACGAAAGUCUGACGGAGCAACGCCGCGUGAGUGAUGACGGCCGUCGGGUUGUAAAGCUCUGUUAAUCGGGACGAAAGGCCUUCUUGCGAAUAGUGAGAAGGAUUGACGGUACCGGAAGAGAAAGCCACGGCUAACUACGUG